rnacentral:rRNA from 1 species
AGUGAACGCUGGCGGUAGGCCUAACACAUGCAAGUCGAACGGCAGCACAGUAAGAGCUUGCUCUUACGGGUGGCGAGUGGCGGACGGGUGAGGAAUACAUCGGAAUCUACUUUUUCGUGGGGGAUAACGUAGGGAAACUUACGCUAAUACCGCAUACGACCUACGGGUGAAAGCAGGGGAUCUUCGGACCUUGCGCGAUUGAAUGAGCCGAUGUCGGAUUAGCUAGUUGGCGGGGUAAAGGCCCACCAAGGCGACGAUCCGUAGCUGGUCUGAGAGGAUGAUCAGCAACACUGGAACUGAGACACGGUCCGACUCCUACGGGAGGCAGCAGUGGGGAAUAUUGGACAAUGGGCGCAAGCCUGAUCCAGCCAUACCGCGUGGGUGAAGAAGGCCUUCGGGUUGUAAAGCCCUUUUGUUGGGAAAGAAAAGCAGCAGGUUAAUACCCCGCUGUUCUGACGGUACCCAAAGAAUAAGCACCGGCUAACUUCGUG